GGCGGCCGGGAGGAAGGAGGGAGUGCGGCGGGCAGGCGGAGGGAGGGCUGAUUAGCAUGCAGCAGCGCUCGCGCGCCCGGCUCCAUUGUUUUAACACCUCCCCUCUCCUCCGCGCCAAUCUGUCACCGUUCAGCAGGCGAACGCUGCUGCCUCAAAUGCUGCUCUUCUCAAAUGAGACGGAUAAUUAGUUGCCCCGCACGAAUGCCGCACUCUUCUCACCCCUGAUUGCUAUCACCUUCUUGCUCCUGGCAGUUUUGACACCUCUCUAAUUACUGUAGCUACAAGCAGCUGUCGAGGCAGCAGCCCGGAGAGAAGGAGCCACAGGCUGAGCGCCCCCCACCGGCCGUCCCCUGCACCCGAAGAUCCCGAACUGGCCCGACGCCGGCAGCACGAAAAGGAGGCCGAGGCUCAGCCCCGACAGCCCGGGCGGGCCCGGGAGCCAGCGGACUCGCUUAGGAUUUCAUAUUUAUAAAGUCUUUACCUUGAAGACUCAGCGUUUUGCGGGUGCAGCUUUUUUACCUGGGCGCUGUUCUUACCCGGACACGCUUAGCAGAUGCCAAGAGGCAGCCCCUGCACGACUCUGUAUGACACAAGAGGGUCAGACCGCAGGUGCCCAAAUAUUCCACCUUUCAAGCUGCAGCCAGCGCCGAGAGCACAGUGGCCUGGAAGGGUCUCCCUCUCUCAGAAGUUGGAGCUUGGAGUACCCCAGAUGCUUUCUACAGAAUGCAGCUGUAGUAAAGGAAAGAAAACCAAGCUACAGCUUCUUAUUGUUUAACAAGUAUUUAAAUGUCUAUCAAGAUAAUGCAAUUCUGUAUUGAAACUGCUUCAACACAAGUUCUUGCCUUUCACUCCCACCCUGUGGCUUUCAGUGGUAUUACAUGUAUUCUGACAUUUAAAAAUCAACAUUAAAGAAAUGUUGGCAAUAAUCUAUUCUAAGCUUCGGAUUUUUAAACAUUUUUGCUUAUAUCUAGAAAGCUUUGUGUAUUUUCUGAAGCUAUACAUUGGAAAGUUCUUAGAUAUGAAUUCC
rnacentral:lncRNA from 1 species